rnacentral:tRNA from 1 species
UCUAAGGAUGAAUAAAAGUAAAAUUUUAUUCUAAAUAAUAUACAGGUUAAUGUUGACCGUCCUCAUUUCUCUUCUUAAAUUAGUGUUUCUCUUCUGCAUGGGGGCCGGUAGCUCAGUUGGUUAGAGCACACCCUUGAUAAGGGUGGGGUCGAAAGUUCGAGUCUUUCUCGGCCCACCAAAUUAAUGGGGGAUUAGCUCAGCUGGGAGAGCGCCUGAUUUGCAUUCAGGAGGUCAGCGGUUCGAUCCCGCUAUCCUCCACCAAGAAACACUUAGUUAUUUAAACUGUAAAUAAAAAUAAUAAUUAUCAAUAUCUAUAUCCGAUUGUUCGAAUAGAUGAACAAUCAAUGAAUGUUCGAAUAGAUGAACAUUUCAAAAAAAUUUGAUUCAACACAGAAUUUUUUUCUGUGCAUAAAU